CCUACGGGAGGCAGCAGUGGGGAAUAUUGCACAAUGGGGGAAACCCUGAUGCAGCGACGCCGCGUGAGUGAAGAAGUAUUUCGGUAUGUAAAGCUCUAUCAGCAGGGAAGAAAAAAGACGGUACCUGACUAAGAAGCCCCGGCUAACUACGUGCCAGCAGCCGCGGUAAUACGUAGGGGGCAAGCGUUAUCCGGAAUUACUGGGUGUAAAGGGAGCGUAGACGGCAAUGCAAGUCCGGAGUGGAAUGCGGCAGCUCAACUGCCGAACUGCUCUGGAAACUGUAUGGCUUGAGUGCAGGAGGGGUAAGCGGAAUUCCUGGUGGAGCGGUGAAAUGCGUAGAUAUCAGGAGGAACACCGGUGGCGAAGGCGGCUUACUGGACUGUAACUGACGUUGAGGCUCGAAAGCGUGGGGAGCAAACAGGAUUAGAUACCCGUGUAGUC
rnacentral:rRNA from 1 species